rnacentral:rRNA from 1 species
ACCGGCAGCUCAAGUGGUGGCCAUUUUUAUUGGGCCUAAAGCGUUCGUAGCCGGUUUGAUAAGUCUCUGGUGAAAUCCCGCAGCUUAACUGUGGGACUUGCUGGAGAUACUAGUAGACUUGAGGUCGGGAGAGGUUAGGGGUACUCCCAGGGUAGGGGUGAAAUCCCAUCAUCCUGGGAGGACCACCUGUGGCGAAGGCGCCUAACUGGAACCAACCUGACGUUAAAUAACGAAAGCCAGAGGCGCGACCCG